UACAGGGGGGUGCAAACGUUGCUCGGAAUCAUUGGGCGUAAAGCGCACGUAGGCGGUUCGUUAUGUCGGAUGUGAAAGCCCUUGGCUUAACCGAGGAAGUGCAUCCGAAAACUGGCGAGCUAGAGUACGAAAGAGGAUCGCGGAAUUCCCGGUGUAGAGGUGAAAUUCGGUAGAUAUCGGGAGGAGCACCGGUGGCGAAGGCGGCGACCUGGUCCUUUAC
rnacentral:rRNA from 1 species